rnacentral:misc_RNA from 1 species
UCUCCGUAGGUGAACCUGCGGAGGGAUCAUUACUGAGUGAGGGCCUUCGGGCUCGACCUCCAACCCUUUGUGAACACAACUUGUUGCUUCGGGGGCGACCCUGCCGUUCGCGGCGUGGGGCCCCCGGAGGCCUUCAAACACUGCAUCUUUGCGUCGGAGUUUAAGUAAAUUAAACAAAACUUUCAACAACGGAUCUCUUGGUUCUGGCAUCGAUGAAGAACGCAGC